GACAGAGGGUGCAAACGUUGUUCGGAAUUACUGGGCGUAAAGCGCGUGUAGGCGGCCCUGCAAGUCGGAUGUGAAAUCCCACGGCUCAACCGUGGAAGUGCAUUCGAAACUGCAGGGCUAGAGUCCUGGAGAGGAAGGUGGAAUGCUUGGUGUAGAGGUGAGAUUCGUAGAUAUCAAGCGGAACACCGGUGGCGAAGGCGGCCUUCUGGACAGUGACUGACGCUGAGACGCGAAAGCGUGGGGAGCAAACGGG
rnacentral:rRNA from 1 species